rnacentral:misc_RNA from 1 species
GGCGUGUGGUGGUGUUUGGAUUGUCUCUGCCGGCUGGCUCCGUGCCCGUCCACCGAACGGCCGGCAGGCAGCCCGCGUUGCUUGUUGUGUGGGAUGAGAUGGUGCCUCAGAGGCUGGUUCUUGUGCUGCCUACCCCCUCAAGGGAAGCAGGCCACUUGCUUUAGCCUCCGUCCGGCGCCUUCUAACGGGCGCGGGAGGACAGCGUAGCACCCCCCGUGUUCCACCGAGCCUUCAUCGGUCGCGUGGCCCGCGGGGAAGUGCGAUGCUCUUGGACCCAGCGCACGCCGCGGACGGGGACUCGCGCCCCAGUCCUAAGAGGAGCUUCGAUAUAACGUAUGACGGCCGCUCCCGCCCCUUGACCGCCCCGGCGGCGCAAGGGCGGACGCGCGACGUCGCGGAGGAUUGCUACCUGGUUGAUCCUGCCAGUAGUCAUAUGCUUGUCU